rnacentral:tRNA from 1 species
GUGGGUGUAGCUCAGUGGUAGAGCACAUACUUAGCAUGCACGAGGUCCCGGGUUCAAUUCCUGGCACCUCCA